rnacentral:rRNA from 1 species
GACGAACCGUGCGAACGUUAUUCGGAUUCAUUGGGCGUAAAGCGCGCGUAGGCGGCUCGGAAAGUCGGGCGUGAAAUGCCGGGGCUCAACCCCGGGACUGCGUCCGAUACUUCCGAGUUGGAGGUAGGUAGGGGAGAUCGGAAUUCCUGGUGUAGCGGUGAAAUGCGCAGAUAUCAGGAGGAACACCGGUGGCGAAGGCGGAUCUCUGGGCCGUACCUGACGCUGAGGCGCGAAAGCUAGGGGAGCGAACAGG